rnacentral:tRNA from 1 species
AGGUUGUGGCUCAGUGGUAGGGUACUUGCCUAGCAUGUGUGAGUCACUGUGUUCAAUCCUCAGCACCACCUA